rnacentral:rRNA from 1 species
GUACACGCUGUGACUAGCAUAUCAAUAAGCGGAGGAAAAGAAACUAACAAGGAUUCCCCUAGUAACGGCGAGUGAAGCGGGAAGAGCUCAAAUUUGAAAUCUUAAAGGGUUUCCCUUUACGAAUUGUAGUUUAAAGAAGUGUUUUCUGUUACGAUCGUAAUAUAAGUUCUUUGGAAUAGGACAUCACAGAGGGUGAGAAUCCCGUCUAUGAUUGCGAUUUGUAGCUUUGUGAUACACCUUCAAAGAGUCGGGUUGUUUGGGAAUGCAGCCCAAAACGGGAGGUAAAUUUCUUCUAAGGCUAAAUAUUGGCGAGAGACCGAUAGCGAACAAGUACCGUGAGGGAAAGAUGAAAAGAGCUUUGAAAAGAGAGUUAAAUAGUACGUGAAAUUGUCAAAAGGGAAGCGUUUAACACCAGUGUUGUUUUCUGAAAAUCAACCUCUGUUAGCUUUAUGCAUGUUUGUUUAGACCUAAUCAGCUAUCUUGCAUGUUCUAUUGUUUGCAGUGGUGCACUUUUCAGUUUACAGGUCAACAUCAGUUUUUUUUACCGUAAAAAAGUUAAAGAAAGGUAGCUCAUGGCUCCGGUCGUGAGUGUUAUAGUCUUUUUCCUAUGCGGUAGGAGAGACUGAGGUCUGCAGUGUAGGCUAUUUGGCUAGAUACUCAGGUGCUAUGUGAUACCAUUUCAUAAACAACUUGUUGAUUAUGUUUUGUCUAUUGCAUACUCGCUUGUACUAUCAUACCUACGCUUAGGAUGUUGAACUACUGAGACAUAGA